GACGUAGGGCGCGAGCGUUGUCCGGAUUUAUUGGGCGUAAAGAGCUCGUAGGCGGCUCGUUGCGUCGGCUGUGAAAACCCGCGGCUCAACCGUGGGCUUGCAGCUGAUACGGGCGGGCUGGAGUUCGGUAGGGGAGACUGGAAUUCCUGGUGUAGCGGUGAAAUGCGCAGAUAUCAGGAGGAACACCGGUGGCGAAGGCGGGUCUCUGGGCCGAUACUGACGCUAAGGAGCGAAAGCGUGGGGAGCGAACAGG
rnacentral:rRNA from 1 species